ensembl:misc_RNA 7SK 7SK RNA
ACAUGUGAGGGCGAUCUGGCUGCGACAUCUCUCACCCCACUGAUCUCCAGGUUAUUCAGCUGAUCUGACUGUAUAGGCUGUGUCCCCUUCCCCACUCACCACUCCCUGUGCAUCUCUCCAGAGGCUGUGUGCUCAGUCAAAAUUGAUUACCACCUGAGAGAGAGAGGGCCAUUUCCUCAGCCACGGGUAUAGCGGGUAUAGGUACAGCUGCACCCCCCUGUAGAACCUUCUAACAAGCUCUCAGACUCUCAGAGCUAAAACUCUUCCCCCUAACCAGAAAUACUUUGCUGAAUGUAUUUGUAU